GCUAAUUUGGCAGAAAAAUUGUAUCAAAUUUAGAAUUUGGAAAUGGGUUACCAAUUAGUA
rnacentral:tRNA from 1 species